rnacentral:misc_RNA from 1 species
GAUGAAGAACGUAGCGAAAUGCGAUACGUAAUGUGAAUUGCAGAAUUCAGUGAAUCAUCGAGUCUUUGAACGCACAUUGCGCCCCCUGGUAUUCCGGGGGGCAUGCCUGUCCGAGCGUCAUUGCUGCCCUCAAGCACGGCUUGUGUGUUGGGCCUCCGUCCUCCUCCCGGGGGACGGGCCCGAAAGGCAGCGGCGGCACCGCGUCCGGUCCUCGAGCAUAUGGGGCUUCGUCACCCGCUCUUGUAGGCCCGGCCGGCGCUUGCCGACACAUCAAUCUUUUUUCCAGGUUGACCUCGGAUCAGGUAGGGAUACCCGCUGAACUUAAGCAUAUCAAUAAGCGGAGGA